GCAUAUCAAUAAGCGGAGGAAAAGAAACCAACUGGGAUUGCCUUAGUAACGGCGAGUGAAGCGGCAAUAGCUCAAAUUUGAAAGCUGGCACCUUCGGUGUCCGCGUUGUAAUUUGUAGAGGAUGCUUCGGCGAGGACUCCUGCCUAAGUUCCCUGGAAUGGGACGUCACAGAGGGUGAGAAUCCCGUAUGUGGCGGGCGGUCCAAGCCAUGUGAAGCUCCUUCGACGAGUCGAGUUGUUUGGGAAUGCAGCUCUAAAUGGGAGGUAAAUUUCUUCUAAAGCUAAAUACCGGCCAGAGACCGAUAGCGCACAAGUAGAGUGAUCGAAAGAUGAAAAGCACUUUGGAAAGAGAGUUAAAAAGUACGUGAAAUUGUUGAAAGGGAAGCGCUUGCAACCAGACUCGCUCGCAGUUGCUCAGCCCGCCUCUUGGUGGGUGUACUCUUCUGCGAUCGGGCCAGCAUCAGUUCGGGCGGCUGGAUAAAGGUGUCGGGAAUGUAGCACCCUUCGGGGUGUGUUAUAGCCCGGCGCGGAAUGCAGCCAGCCUGGACUGAGGAUCUCGCUUCGGCAAGGAUGCUGGCGUAAUGGUUGUAAGCGGCCCGUCUUGAAACACGGACCAAGGAGUCUAACAUCUAUGCGAGUGUUUGGGUGUCAAACCCAUGCGCGUAAUGAAAGUGAACGGAGGUGGGAACCCGUAAGGGCGCACCAUCGACCGAUCCUGAUGUCUUCGGAUGGAUUUGAGUAAGAGCAUAGCUGUUGGGACCCGAAAGAUGGUGAACUAUGCCUGAAUAGGGUGAAGCCAGAGGAAACUCUGGUGGAGGCUCGCAGCGGUUCUGACGUGCAAAUCGAUCGUCAAAUUUGGGUAUAGGGGCGAAAGACUAAUCGAACCAUCUAGUAGCUGGUUCCUGCCGA
rnacentral:rRNA from 1 species